GCGCGAUUAGCUCAGGGGGAGAGCACUACCUUGACACGGUAGGGGUCACAAGUUCAAAUCUUGUAUCGCGCACCA
rnacentral:tRNA from 9 species